CUCUAAUCAGGAUCCUGAGUACGGCCCAGCACGUGAAAUUGGGUCGGAAUCUGGGAGGACCAUCUCCCAAGGCUAAAUACUAACUAGUGACCGAUAGCGAACAAGUACCGUGAGGGAAAGGUGAAAAGAACCCCGGAAGGGGAGUGAAAUAGUUCUUGAAACCGUGUGCUUACAAGAAGUUCGAGGCCGUUAAUGGCUGAGAGCGUGCUUUUUGUAGAAUGAACCGGAGAGUUACGAUUGCGUGCAAGGUUAAGGUGCAAAGACUGGAGCCGUAGCGAAAGCGAGUCUUAAUAGGGCGAAUCAGUACGUAGUUGUAGACCCGAAACCGAGUGACCUAUCCAUGGUCAGGUUGAAGGUGGGGUAAUACCUACUGGAGGACCGAACAAGUGGGUGUUAAAAAACCCUUUGAUGAACUGUGGAUAGCGGUGAAAUUCCAAUCGAACUCGGAGAUAGCUGGUUCUAUCCGAAAUACAUUUAGGUGUAGCCUUGCAAUUAGCUUACUGGAGGUAGAGCACUAUUUGGUCUAGGGGCCCUUCAAGGGUUACCAAAAUCAGAUAAACUCCGAAUGCCAGCUAAGUAUGUGCAGGAGUCAGACGGUGAGUGAUAAGAUCCAUCGUCAAAAGGGGAACAGCCCAGAUCACCAGUUAAGGUCCCUAAAUAUAUGCUAAGUGGAAAACGUUGUGAAGGUGCAUAGACAACUAGGAGGUUGGCUCAGAAGCAGCCACCCUUUAAAGAGUGCGUAAUAGCUCACUAGUCGAGUGCUCUUGCGCGGAUAAUGUACCGGGGCUAAGCAUAUUACCGAAACUGUGGAUGCGUAAGCAUGGUAGGAUAGCGUAAUUAACGCGAUGAAGGAUGACCGUAAGGACAUGUUGGAGCGUUAACUAGUGAGAAUUCCGGUAUGAGUAGCGAAAGAUAGGUGAGAAUCCUAUCCACCGAAUGAGUAAGGUUUCCCCCGGAAGGCUCGUCCGCGGGGGGUUAGUCGGGACCUAAGGCGAGGCUGAAAAGCGUAGUCGAUGGACAACAGGUUGAUAUUCCUGUACCGAUAUUUAAUUGCCGAAGGAAGGACGCAGAAGGAUAACACAGGCCACUAUUGGAUGUGGUUUUAAACAGUUAGUCUUCAUAAGAGUCAAAUGCUUUUAUGUUUAAGGAUAAGCUGUGAAUGUACCAAGUUUACUUGGAAAUUGUGUGAUUUCACGCUGCUGAAAAAAGUUUCGUAGGAAGAAAAUAUUGCCCGUACCGCAAACCGACACAGGUACUCAAGUGGAGAACACUAAGGUGAGCGAGUGAACUAUUGUUAAGGAACUCUGCAAAAUGAGUCCGUAACUUCGGAAGAAGGACUGCUGGUUUUAUACCAGCCGCAGCAAAUAGGCC
rnacentral:rRNA from 1 species